rnacentral:lncRNA from 1 species
UUAGGUUGAAAAUGUAAUAUUUUCUUUUAUGCGAAAUAAUGUUGAGAAAAAAUGGUGAACAUUUUGGUAGAAUUCUUGAAAAUGUUUUAUUUUUUACAGAGAUUAGCUUAAAACUGAGGACGUAUUUUGAUAAUUAUCAUCCAAACAAGGUAAAUUGAAAUAGAGAGAAAAAAUCGGUAAACAUUUUAGUAGAAUACUUGAAUUUUUUUUCUGCAAAGAUUAGCUUAAAACUGAGGAGGUAUUUCGACAAAGAUCAUCUCAACCUCCAAGAAAGAUAAAUUGAAAUAUGUUCAAUGCAGAAUAAAAUUGAAAAUGGUGAACAUUUUGACAGAAUACUUGAAAAUGUUUUAUUUUUUAUAGAGAUUAG